UUCGUCUCCUAAUUUGAAAUCAUUUUAAUUUAGGAAUGCAGUACAGUUCAUCUUCCAUUAGUAUGAAUUUUGCAUGCUACUAGCAUAUGCUCUGAAAGAUGGACAACAAAGGCAACACGGCUUUGCAUUUUGUUGUAGACAUAAAUUUUAAUGAUUAUAAAGAGAAUGGGAGGCGAAUUAGAAAUCUGAGAGAUUUAGCCAGGUUAUUCUCUUUCCACUCCCUCUUUUUUCUUGCUGGAAUUGAUGAAAAAGAUGGACAACAAUUAAUAGUUGUAGAGAGGCAAAUUCGACAUCUGAAAGUUAUACCACGACAAACUCCAUGUUUCCCGGUUUAGAUCUGAUAUGGUAUUUUCUAGUAAUGGCUGGCUCCUAAGUAAAUUUCAGAAUGUUUGAAGAUCCAACAAGAUUAAUAUUAUUGCCAGAAUUUGCCUCAAAUGCAAUUCUCUUAUGGUGAGUACAUGUGAGUGGUUACUGCAACAGUACGAUGAAAGAAGCCGAUCAUUUUGUAAGUGGGAUUUUUAACUAUAAAUGGUGGGUCUUCUCUUUUCAUUUGUAACCUUACACGUACUAUAUUAGUUUGAUUGACUUAUUAGGGAUUCAAAUCCUUAGAAAAGCUCUCAAAACCAGACAUGAUUGAGGCAGCUGUUGUAUAAAUCAUAAAAGAAAUUUUUUUACUUUAUUGGGUAAGAUUACAAGUAGGACACUAACAAAGUCUUGGUUUGGAUUGUGGUUAAAGCUCUCAUUCCCCUAAUGAAUGCU